AACGAACGCUGGCGGCAGGCUUAACACAUGCAAGUCGAGCGCCCCGCAAGGGGAGCGGCAGACGGGUGAGUAACGCGUGGGAAUCUACCGAGCCCUGCGGAAUAGCUCCGGGAAACUGGAAUUAAUACCGCAUACGCCCUACGGGGGAAAGAUUUAUCGGGGUUUGAUGAGCCCGCGUUGGAUUAGCUAGUUGGUGGGGUAAUGGCCUACCAAGGCGACGAUCCAUAGCUGGUCUGAGAGGAUGAUCAGUCACACUGGAACUGAGACACGGUCCAGACUCCUACGGGAGGCAGCAGUGGGGAAUAUUGGACAAUGGGCGAAAGCCUGAUCCAGCCAUGCCGCGUGAGUGAUGAAGGCCUUAGGGUUGUAAAGCUCUUUCAGUGGGGAAGAUAAUGACGGUACCCACAGAAGAAGCCCCGGCUAACUUCGUGCCAGCCGCCGCCGUAAGAC
rnacentral:rRNA from 1 species